AUUUUUCUGCAGAUUCUAAGCACAGACCAACAGAUGUGCUUGGCAACUGAAGAGAGGGUGAGGAGUCUUGAAAAAGCUCUCAGGAGAACGGAAGACAUUUACCUUACACGUGAUGGGGAUUCUUCAGUCACGCCGAGAGCCCUGCCCAGAUUCUUUUCCAUUAUGGUUUAUCACAGGACAUUGAAUACAGUUCCCUGUGCUCUACGAUCCCUCGGUCAGGGAUGCAGGAAACAAGACCCUGUCCUCCAUCCCUGCUCUACCCCUGACGCUCCCUAAAAGGUGCAGACGUCAUUCCUACUCUCCACUCUUUAUUCGUGAUGGUACAGCCUCCCUGCAUCUCGGCACAGAGGAAC